rnacentral:lncRNA from 1 species
AUGUGUUUAGAUACAUAAUUGAUACUCAUUCUCAUACAAACUCCUUCUUAUCUUUUUCAGACUGGUAAAAAACUGUUCCUGGCCCAGUUCUGACACAUGGACAACUGGAAUAGCUUUGCUGAAGCUUAAAAAUGAGAUGGUGUUACCCUCAUAUGGGGGACCCUGUAGGAUGUCGUAUAUCAUGGAAAACCCACUACAGUGCUGGCCCUUAGAGAAGAAAUUGAAAAUGCAUGAGCAGCAAUCUCAGUGACCAAGGUUACCCAAGCAGCAGUUCACCAUACUGAUAAACGUCUGGAAGCUGAUGGCCACCACUCUGAGCACCUUUUGUAAUUGUAGAGGCCAAAGGAAACUUGUAUUAAUCGCAUGAUGUCUCAAUAAAUUUAGUAUUAAAAUAUUUAUGCAAGUUUUUCUU